CCAAAGGCUCUUUUCAGAGCCACCCACUCACUCUGUUAUUUAGAG
rfam:Xenopus tropicalis strain Nigerian Chr09_contig_113, whole genome shotgun sequence.